GCCAUAUGUGGAAGUGGCCAUAGGAAAAGGAUACAGAGUAGAGUUUCAUGAACCUGAAACUUGGUGGAAAUUUGAUCCUGAAGAAUUAGAAAAGAGGAAUAAACAUGGUGUGUCUCGAAAGAAGAUUGCUCAGAUGUUGGAUCGUUAUGAAUAUCAAAUGUCCAUUUCUAUUGUAAUGAAUUCAGUGGAACCAUCACACAAAAGCACACAAAGACCUCCUCCUCCACAGGGGAGACAGAGGUGUGACUGAAGAAAUAUCAAAUGUUUCCUAGUAAGACAGCAACUCAGAGAAAGAGUUUUGAAGAAAACUGGGCAUAGGCUCAGCAAAACCAAACAGAAGAGGAACAGAAAAAGAAACAAAAAGCAGAACAGUCAGAAUAGAAUCAUGGAGGAAAACUCAUUAGAAUUCUUAAGUGAUCUUACACCGGGAGAUCAGGACCCAUCUCAGAGUGAAGAGGAAGACAUUGAAAAGACCAGAAGAGAAUCAGAAUAUCCCUUCAUUGAUGGUCUACAAAAUGAAGUCGGAGAUUUUGUGACUGGAUAU
rnacentral:lncRNA from 1 species